AACGCUGGCGGCGUGCUUAACACAUGCAAGUCGAACGGUAAGGCCCCUUCGGGGGUACACGAGUGGCGAACGGGUGAGUAACACGUGGGUAAUCUGCCCUGCACUUCGGGAUAAGCCUGGGAAACUGGGUCUAAUACCGGAUAUGAACUCCUGCCGCAUGGUGGGGGUUGGAAAGUUUUUCGGUGCAGGAUGAGCCCGCGGCCUAUCAGCUUGUUGGUGGGGUAAUGGCCUACCAAGGCGACGACGGGUAGCCGGCCUGAGAGGGUGAUCGGCCACACUGGGACUGAGACACGGCCCAGACUCCUACGGGAGGCAGCAGUGGGGAAUAUUGCACAAUGGGCGAAAGCCUGAUGCAGCGACGCCGCGUGGGGGAUGACGGUCUUCGGAUUGUAAACCCCUUUCAGUAGGGACGAAGCGCAAGUGACGGKMSCWRSWGAMGRWRCMYSSRSAAGAAGCACCGGCUAACUACGUGCCAGCAGCCGCGGUAAUACCUAAGGUGCGAGCGUUGUCCGGAAUUACUGGGCGUAAAGAGCUCGUAGGCGGUUUGUCACGUCGUCUGUGAAAUCCCUCGGCUUAACCGGGGGCGUGCAGGCGAUACGGGCAGACUUGAGUACUACAGGGGAGACUGGAAUUCCUGGUGUAGCGGUGAAAUGCGCAGAUAUCAAGAGGAACACCGGUGGCGAAGGCGGGUCUCUGGGUAGUAACUGACGCUGAGGAGCGAAAGCAUGGGUAGCGAACAGGAUUAGAUACCCUGGUAGUCCAUGCCGUAAACGGUGGGCGCUAAGUGUGGGGUCCUUCCACGGACUCCGUGCCGUAACUAACGCAUUAAGCGCCCCGCCUGGGGAGUACCGCCGCAAGGCUUAAACUCCAAAGAAUUGACCGGGGCCCGCACAAGCGGCGGACAUGUGGAUUAUUUCGAUGCACGCGAGAACUUACCUAGCUUGCUAUACAGACGACGCAGAGAUGUCGUUCCUUGUGGCUUGAUACA
rnacentral:rRNA from 1 species